rnacentral:rRNA from 1 species
UACGUAGGGGGCGAGCGUUGUCCGAAGUUACUGGGCGUAAAGCGCGCGUAGGCGGGGGGUUAAGUGAGAGGUGAAAGGCUGGGGCUCAACCUCAUGCAGUGCCUCUCAUACUGGCCUUCUUGAGGGCGGUAGGGAGAAGUGGAAUGGCUGGUGUAGCGGUGAAAUGCGUAGAUAUCAGUCGGAACACCGGUGGCGAAGGCGGCUUCUUGGGCCGUUCCUGACGCUGAUGCGCGAAAGCCAGGGGAGCGAACGGG